rnacentral:misc_RNA from 1 species
GAUGAAGAACGCAGCGAAAUGCGAUAAGUAAUGCGAAUUGCAGAAUUCCAGUGAGUCAUCGAAUCUUUGAACGCACAUUGCGCCCGCCAGUAUUCUGGCGGGCAUGCCUGUUCGAGCGUCAUUACAACCCUCAGGCCCCCGGGCCUGGCGUUGGGGAUCGGCGGAAGCCCCCUGCGGGCACAACGCCGUCCCCCAAAUACAGUGGCGGUCCCGCCGCAGCUUCCAUUGCGUAGUAGCUAACACCUCGCAACUGGAGAGCGGCGCGGCCACGCCGUAAAACACCCAACUUCUGAAUGUUGACCUCGAAUCAGGUAGGAAUACCCGCUGAACUUAAGCAUAUCAAUAAGCGGAGGA